rnacentral:rRNA from 1 species
UACAGAGGGGGGCAAGCGUUGUUCGGAAUUACUGGGCGUAAAGGGCGCGUAGGCGGCCCGCUAAGUCGAACGUGAAAUCCCCAGGCUCAACCUGGGAACUGCGUCCGAUACUGGCAGGCUUGAAUCCGGGAGAGGGAUGUGGAAUUCCAGGUGUAGCGGUGAAAUGCGUAGAUAUCUGGAGGAACACCGGUGGCGAAGGCGGCAUCCUGGACCGGUAUUGACGCUGAGGCGCGAAAGCUAGGGGAGCAAACAGG